rnacentral:rRNA from 1 species
AGAGUUUGAUCAUGGCUCAGAUUGAACGCUGGCGGCAGGCCUAACACAUGCAAGUCGAACGGUAACAGGAAGCAGCUUGCUGCUUUGCUGACGAGUGGCGGACGGGUGAGUAAUGUCUGGGAAACUGCCUGAUGGAGGGGGAUAACUACUGGAAACGGUGGCUAAUACCGCAUAACGUCGCAAGACCAAAGAGGGGGACCUUCGGGCCUCUUGCCAUCAGAUGUGCCCAGAUGGGAUUAGCUUGUUGGUGAGGUAACGGCUCACCAAGGCGACGAUCCCUAGCUGGUCUGAGAGGAUGACCAGCCACACUGGAACUGAGACACGGUCCAGACUCCUACGGGAGGCAGCAGUGGGGAAUAUUGCACAAUGGGCGCAAGCCUGAUGCAGCCAUGCCGCGUGUAUGAAGAAGGCCUUCGGGUUGUAAAGUACUUUCAGCGGGGAGGAAGGUGUUGUGGUUAAUAACCGCAGCAAUUGACGUUACCCGCAGAAGAAGCACCGGCUAACUCCGUGCCAGCAGCCGCGGUAAUACGGAGGGUGCAAGCGUUAAUCGGAAUUACUGGGCGUAAAGCGCACGCAGGCGGUCUGUCAAGUCGGAUGUGAAAUCCCCGGGCUCAACCUGGGAACUGCAUUCGAAACUGGCAGGCUUGAGUCUUGUAGAGGGGGGUAGAAUUCCAGGUGUAGCGGUGAAAUGCGUAGAGAUCUGGAGGAAUACCGGUGGCGAAGGCGGCCCCCUGGACAAAGACUGACGCUCAGGUGCGAAAGCGUGGGGAGCAAACAGGAUUAGAUACCUUGGUAGUCCACGCCGUAAACGAUGUCUACUUGGAGGUUGUGCCCUUGAGGCGUGGCUUCCGGAGCUAACGCGUUAAGUAGACCGCCUGGGGAGUACGGCCGCAAGGUUAAAACUCAAAUGAAUUGACGGGGGCCCGCACAAGCGGUGGAGCAUGUGGUUUAAUUCGAUGCAACGCGAAGAACCUUACCUGGUCUUGACAUCCACGGAAGUUUUCAGAGAUGAGAAUGUGCCUUCGGGAACCGUGAGACAGGUGCUGCAUGGCUGUCGUCAGCUCGUGUUGUGAAAUGUUGGGUUAAGUCCCGCAACGAGCGCAACCCUUAUCCUUUGUUGCCAGCGGUCCGGCCGGGAACUCAAAGGAGACUGCCAGUGAUAAACUGGAGGAAGGUGGGGAUGACGUCAAGUCAUCAUGGCCCUUACGACCAGGGCUACACACGUGCUACAAUGGCGCAUACAAAGAGAAGCGACCUCGCGAGAGCAAGCGGACCUCAUAAAGUGCGUCGUAGUCCGGAUUGGAGUCUGCAACUCGACUCCAUGAAGUCGGAAUCGCUAGUAAUCGUGGAUCAGAAUGCCACGGUGAAUACGUUCCCGGGCCUUGUACACACCGCCCGUCACACCAUGGGAGUGGGUUGCAAAAGAAGUAGGUAGCUUAACCUUCGGGAGGGCGCUUACCACUUUGUGAUUCAUGACUGGGGUGAAGUCGUAACAAGGUAACCGUAGGGGAACCUGCGGUUGGAUCACCU